AGAUUCGAAUGCUCGGUCAUUUUUAUUCCACAUCACACCGUCCCAAUCGUAUCCAAAGGCAGUGUUAACGACAACGGUUCCCCAGUAGGCCAUAGCUACCAUACUGCCAAAACACUCCGAUGACACCCUCUCUCCUCCGGCGAUGUACGAUUGCCUCUCCGAACUCUUUCCGGCGAACCCAAGGUUUCCGAUCGAAGGCGGCCCUCGAAGCCCUAGAAAAAGCCUCCGACGAGAAAACCCCAACCAUCGCACUAUACAACUACCCUUCAUUUUCCGGUGCUUUCUCAGCCCUCUUUGCUCACCUCUUCCACUAUCAUCUCCGCCUUCCCUGCCUCAUCUUACCCUUCUCCUCCGUCGAACCUCUCAGGGUUGACGAUUUGUGCAUCAAAGGACUCAAGGAAUGCUACUUUCUUGAUUUUCUUGGGCCAAGAGGAUUUGCAGCUGAGCUUUCGCAUCAAUCGUCGUGCAAGGUGAUUGGAUUCGAUCAUAGAAAAUCAGUUCUGUCCAUGGUAUCUUGUGACCCUGGUUGCAGUGGGAACGUUUCAUUUCGAGUUGAUCUUGAUAAGAGUAGCUCCACUGCUGCAUAUGAGUACUUCUCUACUAAACUGUUACUGACGGAAUCUAGUGACGGCGAGGUCAAGUAUUUACUGAACCCGAAACAACGUGAUCGUCUGGAGUUGGUUCUUAAGUACAUUGAAGAUGCAGAUCUUCGCCAAUGGAGCUUACCAAACAUUAAAGCAUUUAACCUUGCACUGGGUGAAUGGCGUUCAAUGUUGAACUGCAUGACUAAUCCUCACAUGUAUGAACAGUUGCUGGAGAUAAGCUCUUUGGAUUUAAUUGGCAAGGGGAAUUCUCUCAUGUCUAUUCGCCAGGAUGCAGCAAAAAACUUGCUUGAUAAGGUUUUCAAAGUUCGCUUGGGCAGAGGAUUUUAUGGGGAGUGUCUGGGAGUUAGAGCUGAUGGAAAUUCCAAUUUAACUGAUGAAAUUGCCAAGGAGCUUAGCUUAAAGAGUGCUGCUGCUGGGCUGAGGUAAUUUUUUGUCAGUUAUGUACUUGUCGAUCUUUUCUUAAAAUUGUAGUCCGCAAUAUUUGUUUCCGGACACGAGUAGAUAUCAAUGUAUCUGCUAUAAAUGCUGGGUCUCUUUUGGUGUUUGUGGAUGUGUAAUUCUUCUGUACGAAAAUCCUAGAUGUGAAAAUCCUAUAACGAUCCUUUGAUUUCCAUGACAUUCGGAUCACAACCUGAGCAACCAAACACUAAAUAGGCCUUUAUUUUGCCAGGGGCAUCAGGCUGGCUAAACUCUUUAAUUGUUUUAGAAAGAAUGCUCUCAUCUGUUACGUUUGUAUAUCUACCCUAUAGGUGUGCAUCAAUUGACACCAUUGAAUAAGAUGUUCAAUCAAACUACUUUAAAUUCUCGAUAUGGUCUUCCAUAGGUUAGCAAAACAUCUUGGUGAUCUGUAUGAACGGGAAUGUAAGCCACACUUAGAACAAGUACCAAUGACUCCAAAUAUUUGUUGUACUUGGUCCUUGAGAUGAUAAAGGUACCUUAAGUUCAUUCAUUAGCAUUAUUAAGUCUCCCUUUUCUCUAGGCCUUCCCUCUCUGAUGCCUUCCGGCUUUGACUUUAGGGUUUGGUUCCACGGUAUAUUGUCCCAUGAGUUCCUUGAUUUUGGGAGGUAUUGGGGGGCCACUAUUAAGUGGAAAUAUUCCUAGCCUCCUAGUCAGCCACUUUGUGCAUAUAUAGCCAAUUCAAAGACUUUCCUUCAUAAAAAAAGAAAAGAAAAGACUGAAUAUCUUGGAAUCUGAUCCUUUACUGUUGCUCACUUCCUUCGUAGCUCGAUGCCUUGACCCUAUUACAUAAGUUGAUUCAGAACUAUUAUGAGUAUAUUGCCAAUUCAAAGAUUUUCCUUCAUCAAAAAGAAAAGACCAACUAUCUUGGGAUCUGAUCCUAUACUUUUGCCCACUUCCUUCGUAGCUCAAUGCCUUGACCCUAUUACAUAAGUCGAUUCGGAACUUUUAUAUCACAUCACGACAUAAGUAAGCAGUUAUUAUUGUAUUGGCCUAAAACCUUGCUAAUUGAUCUUUACAGUGCUUCCUCUAUCAAUUAGAUCCUUUUUUUAUCAUUACAAUGCUUCCCCCGCCUAUACCUCCUGGAUUGGGGAUUACAUGAGUACUGUAAUUGUUAUUGUUGUACAUGUCCGAGAUUGGAUAAAAUUGACAGCCUAAUGCCUGCAUUUGGCCCUAGCCAUAAUCCUUGUGAUUAGUUGGACCAAUCUCGUAUUGGAAUAAGGUUAAUGGUUUAUGCUUUCCUUAAGUGAGUGAGUAGUCAUAUAACGACCCGAUAUCAUCAAGCACAUCAUCAAGCACCAUGACCAGGACAUAAUAAUUUGAAUAUUUUACGGCACCAACUCAAUAUAAAUAACAAACAGAAAGCCAUCCCCUAUUUCCAUAAAUAUUUACUUAAUUUUUUAUAUACAAUUUCUACAUACCUUCACUCUGCAACUUAUCUUACUCCCUUUCUCUCAUUGUAUCCUUCUUUUUCCUACUGUUCCUUGUCACCCACUUUCUAAACCAGCUCCUCUACUCCUCCCAUAUUUUUCCUCUUUUUUCUCCCAGUUUCCAGUCCUCCCAUUUUUCCUUUUUUAUUCCCUCUCUAAGAACUUGCCGAGUCAUUCCAAUGAAUGGCAAUUUGGUGGACAAGUGUCCUCUCUUAUAACGUUUGUUUUUUUCUUCUUUCUUAUCCUUUUUUCGCAACACAACAAACAAAUCCUCAUGCACACAAACACAUGUCCCUUCACAUGCACACUCCUCACUUAAUUUACACUAAUGGCCUCCAUGCAAAUUUUUUCUUUUAUUAUUAUUGUUUUUUAGACUUCUUUAAAUAAUUCAUGCACCUUGUUAAUGUAAAAGUAGACAACAAACAAGAUACAUUAAAAAUCUCUUGAUUUCUAAUCCAAUAUAUGGUGGGGGCCACCUCUAGGAUCUCGUAUGAGCUUGAUUAUAUGUUGUACAAAGCUAAGUGCCACACCGUGACCGUCAAGGGAAAGGUUCUAGGCUAAUACAACGAGGAUGUUGUAUCAUGAUGCAGCGCAGCCUCCUCUUCCACCUCGACCUCCAGCACGUCCUUCGGCCAUAGUCAAGAUUGGAACGAGAGCUCUGAUACCAACUGAUGCAAUGCAGCCUCAACGUAAAAUAAAAUAUUAAUAAAAUAAUAUUUUUUCUAAAAUCUAAUCUGCAUCACAUCAUAAGGUGGGGAGAUUGUGAGAAGCCAUUGUGUUAGUCCCACAUUGGUGGGAAAAUGGGAAUGUCAAUAGUAUAUAAUGGUUCAUAACGAGAUACUGUAUAACCUGGGGUUAACCUUUUGAGCCAUGUGGAUUGGCUAAGAGUUAGCAGGUUAGCUGGCGCGGGCCGUUACAAGUCAUUCCAUCUGAUGGCAGAGUAGUUGUUGGGAUUAGCACUUAUGUUGUUGGUGUUUGCCGAUGAAAUUGUUGCAUGGUUGGGGAAUUUACUGCCUUGGUCAAGUUAACAAAGCUGGCCUAUUGGAGCUGUUAUCUUCAUGCAACGGAAAAAUCUUAAGAUGUGCCUAAGGAGUAUGGAUGCUGGUACUGAUACCUCUGAAGUUGCAAAGGCAUAUGGUGGAGGAGGUUCCCCAAGUUCCAGCUCUUUCAUAAUAAGGAUGGACGAGUAUAACCUGUGGCUUUCGGUACACCAACCAUGAACACAUUAUG